rfam:Oryza glaberrima chromosome 8 Oglab08_unplaced138_10, whole genome shotgun sequence.
AGAAAAGGCUACAAAGAACCUUAUAUCCAAUAGACUGUCUGUAUUAUUAGCCUUGUUCUUAAAUGAUAAAACAUGAACAGUACUUUAGGCAUGACUUAUUUUUUUAUUUUUUAAAAAGGUUAUUUUAAAUAAGACGGACGAUCAAAAUUGAACACGAAAACUCGUGACUGCAUUAAAA